GACGAACGCUGGCGGCGUGCCUAAUACAUGCAAGUAGAACGCACAGUUUAUACCGUAGCUUGCUACACCAUAGACUGUGAGUUGCGAACGGGUGAGUAACGCGUAGGUAACCUGCCUGGUAGCGGGGGAUAACUAUUGGAAACGAUAGCUAAUACCGCAUAAUAUUAAUUAUUGCAUGAUAAUUAAUUGAAAGGUGCAAUUGCACCACUACCAGAUGGACCUGCGUUGUAUUAGCUAGUAGGUGAGGUAACGGCUCACCUAGGCGACGAUACAUAGCCGACCUGAGUGGGUGAUCGGCCACACUGGGACUGAGACACGGCCCAGACGCCUACGGGAGGCAGCAGUAGGGAAUCUGCGGCAAUGGACGAAAGUCUGACCGAGCAACGCCGCGUGAGUGAAGAAGGUUUUCGGAUCGUAAAGCUCUGUUGUAAGAGAAGAACGGGUGUGAGAGUGGAAAGUUCACACUGUGACGGUAUCUUACCAGAAAGGGACGGCUAACUACGUG
rnacentral:rRNA from 1 species